AUGUCAUUAAAAAAUCAACACUAGCAUGUGGGUUUGGGUGUUAAGUGCUCCAAGGAGGUUGCCACUGCCAUCCGAGGAGCCAUCAUCCUGGAGAAGCUCUCCAUUGUCCCUGUGCAGAGAGGCUACUGGGGGAACAAGAUUGGUAUGCCUCACACCGUACCGUGCAAGGUGACAGACCACUGUGGAUCUGUGCUGGUGCACCUCAUCCCCGCCCCCAGAAGCACUGGGACUGUUUCAGCUCCUGUCCCCAAGAAGCUGUUGAUGAUGGCUGGUAUUGAUGACUGCUACACCUCAGCCAGGGGCUGUACUGCUACUUUGGGCAACUUUGGCAAGGCCACUUUUGAUGCCAUCACCAAGACCUACAGUUACCUGACCCCUGAUCUCUGGAAAGAGACCCUGUUCACCAAAUCUCCUUAUCAGGAAUUCACUGACCAUCUUCUGAAAACCCACACCAGAGUCUCUGUGCAGAGGACCCAGGCUCCAGCUGUGGCUACAACAUAG